GCUAAAAUUCCACCCCGCACCCGGGCCAACAUCCCACACGAAAGAAUACAGAGAUCGGUCGAAUCUAACUACCGCACAAAUUUUGCAUAGCAACAAACAUCAUAAAAUGCAAGACACGGACGCGACGAAAAAUAAUCUAGACCUUCACGUAGGAAACGCGGCUCGAAUCCUUUUUCGGCCGACGGACGCAAAGCCGGUCGAUCCGAGAGCAAAUCGAAAAAGGGAAAAAGCUUCGAUUGCCAGGACCGCCCGCGCAGGACACGAUCCACAGAGAAAGAGAGAGAGAGAG
rnacentral:lncRNA from 1 species